rnacentral:rRNA from 1 species
UACAGAGGGUGCGAGCGUUGUUCGGAAUUACCGGGCGUAAAGCGCGCGUAGGUGGUCUUUUAAGUCCGACUGUGAAAUCCCGGGGCUCAACCCCGUGGGCUGCAGGGGAUACUGGGAGACUGGAGACACGUAGAGGCAAGCGGAAUUCCGGGUGUAGCGGUGGAAUGCGUAGAGAUCCGGAAGAACACCGGAGGCGAAGGCGGCUUGCUGGGCGUGAUCUGACGCUGAGGCGCGAAAGCGUGGGGAGCGAACAGG